UACGAAGGGGGGCUAGCGUUGUUCGGAAUACUGGGCGUAAAGCGCGCGUAGGCGGUUUUCCAAGUCGGGCGUGAAAGCCCCGGGCUCAACCCGGGAAAUGCGCUCGAAACUUGAAGACUGGAGGCCGGAAGAGGGUAGUGGAAUUCCCAGUGUAGAGGUGAAAUUCGUAGAUAUUGGGAAGAACACCAGUGGCGAAGGCGGCUACCUGGUCCGGAUCUGACGCUGAGGCGCGAAAGCGUGGGGAGCAAACA
rnacentral:rRNA from 1 species